rnacentral:rRNA from 1 species
UACGUAGGGUGCGAGCGUUGUCCGGAAUUAUUGGGCGUAAAGAGCUCGUAGGCGGUCUGUCGCGUCGGUCGUGAAAACUUGGGGCUUAACCCUGAGCUUGCGGUCGAUACGGGCAUGACUGGAGUUCGGCAGGGGAGACUGGAAUUCCUGGUGUAGCGGUGAAAUGCGCAGAUAUCAGGAGGAACACCGGUGGCGAAGGCGGGUCUCUGGGCCGAUACUGACGCUGAGGAGCGAAAGCGUGGGGAGCGAA